rnacentral:sRNA from 1 species
AUGUACCGCGCCUACACUGCGAUUCCGAUCGCGCUGGCCAUGCCCACCCGACGACUGCUCGCGACGCUCUGUUCUCC